ACUACGCGCCCGAGGCCUGUCUCAAAGGUAAGAUGGCCUCAAAUCCAAUGGAAUUGUCGCGGAUGAUAAGUUUUUGUUGCGCAGGUUUGGUUCUGCUGUUUCUAAUGUGGGUGAUUGUUUGUCUAACAUCCCUGGAAGAAGUGAGUGUGCAGGAGUAAGUCAAGGAGCCUCAUAUACAUAAAGUGGCGCCGAAUGCUGAAUUUCUGGAAGAAAAUGAUAACAUGGAUUGUUGCUUACAUUUUCCAGGGGUUGCCCUGCAUUGCUUUCUCAUGAUGCCUCCAAUGCUCAUGGACAUAGAAAUCGAGAAAGUGAAAAUGUGAAGAAACAAUGGCUCCAAUGCUAGCACUCUCUUUCACUUAUCAUUGCCUUUGGCCCUUUCUAUCCCCUUUCUUCUGUUUCGCACUUUCAAGUUUAUAUAAUGGGGGUGGAAACAAUCAACAAGAGGGGCGAGGUUGGUGGUCGAGUCAGUAGAGUAGAUGGUACAUUGUUGCGCAUUGAUGCGAGUCACAGAAGUAGGUGGUACAUUGUUGCAUGAGCUCACCUCCCUCUCUUGUAUUUUUUUCUUGUGCUUAUCAGUAUAUCUACCUACCUAUAUAAACCAUUCAUUGGUUCAUUUCCAUGUGUACUUCAGCUUUCCAUUGUUGUUGUCUUUGCAAAAUGAUUGAAGUGCUGGACUUGUCCAAACUCAAAUUUGUUAAAGUUUGACCAAAUCUCUACACUGUCACUGCCAUGUGGUUGUUUUUCUUUGGAUAUAUAAACAACAGAAGUGAUUUUUUCCCUUAUGCCUUUUUAAUCAUCUGUUCUGGUCUAAGUGGAGACAACAUCAGUGCAUCAAAUGACCCCUAAAAGCCUGGAUCUUCCUGUACAGCUUUUAGUAACAUUUACCUCUAGGCUCCAAUCUUCCUUUGCAAACAUAACACAUAAUCUAGCAUUUCUGCUGGUCUAAACUAACUCAAUAAGUCUGCAUAUCCUAUUCCUCAUGUUUGUCAUUAGUAUCACUACUAUUAUUUGUUGGCCUAAGUUCCUAACCAAGCCAAGCCAAUUAUAGAUUGCAACCUAUGUCAUUAGUUUCAGGAAAGCCAAAUGCAUGUAGCGAUCUGUUGUCCAUGGAAGUUGGAACCUACCAUCCACCAUUUUCCAAAAGCUAUUCACCACUAAAUGCUGUUAUGAUCCUGUCCAUGUUAUUGCAAGUGCAUUGGUACUAUGUCAAUUCAGUGAACCAAGAGGUUAUUUAGCAACAAGGAACUGGUGGAAUAUUGGACGUGGAGUAUGUGAGCUCGGGCACACAGGCUCUCGGUAUCGCGCACGUCCAUAAUAGCUAUGAGAUUCGGAGAAUUCAAUGCGGCAUUCUGUCAGGUGGGGCACGCGUGGUGUGGGAAAUUGGAAUAUACGUCGCUAUACCCACCCGACAGAUGGGCCAUGAAUUGACGGAGGGGUGGACACCGUCGAGGGACAUAGCCUGAGCCGUGGCUCGAGGUUUGGUCGCCGUCCCGAUCCGUGGAUCAGGCCUGGAGGUUUCCACUAGCCUCCGGCAGGGCAUGCAGUUAAUGCGGCUAUCUGGCUGUGCGGUGGUAGGUGGGCUGAAGGUUGAUUUCUCUAGGAUCCCAGUUCAGGGGGGAGGUCGAGAGAUUAACUGCGGCGCCGAGCUUCGUUUGUCCGGCGACCUAGCAGGCGACCUCGCACGCGCUCCGCCGACCAUGGAGUUCUUGCUUCAGACGAUAAACAUAACGCUGCUUGAGGAGGUGAACGAUAACAACGGCGCAAUGGAACCUGUGACGUUCCCCGUCACCGCGCCGGCGGAGCUUGCGCUUCCACUACCUGCCGCUUCAUGUGCGGACGCACAGAUCUAUUGGGCGGAGACAGAAGCUGCUGACGUGCGUUAGUCCUCCGAGCACUCAAUUCAGCAAGUCGACCCUAAAGCGCCAGGCUGGACUCAAAGAGUCCGUUUGGGAGCCGCCGCUGAAGGCAGGGUCCCUUGCUCGGACAGGGUGACAGCAUUGGAGAAGACUGUGAGGGAAUUUGCCGAGCAUCCAGGGGACAUAGUGAUGAUCAAGCCAAAUAUCGGAACAACCUUCGACAGUCUGGGUGAAGCUUAUGACUUUUACAAUUUGUAUUCAUGGGAGAAAGGAUUUGGAAUUAGAUACGGGAAGAGCAGACUAAAUGUGAACAUGAUAAAAUGCAUCCAAGAGAUCGUGUGUGGAUGCGCGGUACAGCUAAUACUUCAUCAGAUUUUGACAAUUCAUUUUUCACAUCUUUCGUGCGUUUUAACUGAUGAUGGUACUCUGUUAAUGUCACCGGGGGAAGCCGAUAGUUGAAAAUACUCGUUCUUGUCGCUGUGAAUGCCCGGCACUAGUGAUAUUACUGCGGUCCAAGGACAAUGGGUGGUACAUAGCUGAGCAUCGAGAUGGGCACAACCAUUCUCUGUCGCAGACUUACGGCCAAACAAUACACUGGCCGUCACAUAAGCAUAUCAAUGUGUACAGCAUGGACCUGGUGAAGCAGCUGCGGCAAAACAAUGUUAACCUAGCAAAGGUGUACAGCAUUAUCGGGAGCUUCUUCGGUAAGAUGGAGAACGUAUCGUUCACGAAAAGAGCACUGAGAACUUUGUGUGGCAAGAUAAGCCGUGAGUAGUCCAAAGAUGAUGUGAGGAAGACAAUGGAAGUUUUCCAGGAGCUGUGUUCAAAGGAUCAACAAUUUACAUAUCGGGUACAAGCUGACAAUGAGGGCAGAAUAAGCAACCUGAUGUGGGCUACGGGAAACAGCAGGCUGCAGUACAAUUUCUUUGGUGAUGUAGUUACAUUCGACACAACCUACCGUACCAACCUGUACGACAUUCCCUUUGAUUUAUUUGUUGGGGUUAACAACCAUUUCCAGAGCAUCAUUCUAGCAGGUGUGCUUGUUAGGCAAGAGACAGAUAGAAACAUUUGAAUGGGUUUUCUCGGAGUUUGUUAGGAUAAUGGGUGGUAGGACGCCAGAAACAAUUCUGACGGACCAAAACAGAGCAAUGGAGGUUGCAAUAAGGAAUGUGAUGCCAGACACAUCUCACCGCUGGUGCAAAUGGCAUGUGCUUAAGAAGGCAAAGGAGUCGCUUGGGCCAUUGUACUCAAAAACAGUGAUUUCCGACCAGAGUUCCACAAGGUUGUCAACCACAUGCUAACCAUAGAUGAGUUUGAAGAAGGUUGGAAGUACCUUGUUGAUAAGUACAACUUGAAAAGUCACGAUUACAUGACUAAUUUGUACGAGAUACGGCACAAGUGGGCAAAGCCGUACUUCAAGGGUGCGCAAAAAUGACUAGUACUCAACGGAGUGAAAGCGCGAACCACAUGUUGAAGAACUACGUGCCACCCGGUUGCCCAAUGCACAUCUUGUGAGGAAGUAUAUGAGUUUGAUUUUUGACAGGGAGUCAGAGGAAAAUUACGAGGAGAA